rnacentral:rRNA from 1 species
UUGAACGCUGGCGGCAGGCCUAACACAUGCAAGUCGAACGGCAGCGGGGAGUGGCUUGCUACUCUGCCGGCGAGUGGCGGACGGGUGAGUAAUGCCUGGGGAGCUGCCCAAUCGAGGGGGAUACCAGUUGGAAACGACUGCUAAUACCGCAUACGCCCUGAGGGGGAAAGGUGGGGAUCUUCGGACCUACCGCGAUUGGAUGCACCCAGGUGGGAUUAGCUAGUUGGUGAGGUAACGGCUCACCAAGGCGACGAUCUCUAGCUGGUCUGAGAGGAUGACCAGCCACACUGGAACUGAGACACGGUCCAGACUCCUACGGGAGGCAGCAGUGGGGAAUAUUGCACAAUGGGGGAAACCCUGAUGCAGCCAUGCCGCGUGUGUGAAGAAGGCCUUCGGGUUGUAAAGCACUUUCAGCGAGGAGGAAAGGGGUGAUGCUAAUACCAUCAUCCUGUGACGUUACUCGCAGAAGAAGCGCCGGCUAACUCCGUG